GUGCUUGCUUCGGCAGCACAUACACUAAAAUUGGAACGAUACAGAGAAGAUUAGCAUGGCCCCUAGCAAAAAAGACACACUAAUUCAUGAAGAGUUCCAUAUCUUU